rnacentral:rRNA from 1 species
AAUGGGCGCAAGCCUGAUCCAGCAAUGCCGCGUGAGUGAAGAAGGCCUUCGGGUUGUAAAGCUCUUUCAGUUGAGAAGAAAAGAUUGUAACUAAUAAUUACAGUUCAUGACGGUAUCAACAGAAGAAGCACCGGCUAACUACGUGCCAGCAGCCGCGGUAAUACGUAGGGUGCGAGCGUUAAUCGGAAUUACUGGGCGUAAAGGGUGCGCAGGCGGUUCUGUAAGUCAGAUGUGAAAUCCCCGGGCUUAACCUGGGAACUGCGUUUGAAACUACAGAGCUAGAGUGUGGCAGAGGGGGGUGGAAUUCCAUGUGUAGCAGUGAAAUGCGUAGAGAUAUGGAAGAACAUCGAUGGCGAAGGCAGCCCCCUGGGUUAACACUGACGCUCAUGCACGAAAGCGUGGGGAGCAAA